AACGAACGCUGGCGGCGCGCCUAAUACAUGCAAGUCGAGCGAGAAGACGUAGCAAUACGUUUGUAAAGCGGCGAACGGGUGAGGAAUACAUGGGUAACCUACCCUCGAGUGGGGAAUAACUAGCCGAAAGGUUAGCUAAUACCGCGUACGCUCCUCGGACUUCGGUUCAGGGAGGAAAGCGAUACCGUGGGUAUCGCGCUCUUGGAUGGGCUCAUGUCCUAUCAGCUUGUUGGUGAGGUAACGGCUCACCAAGGCUUCGACGGGUAGCUGGUCUGAGAGGACGAUCAGCCACACUGGCACUGCGACACGGGCCAGACUCCUACGGGAGGCAGCAGUAAGGAAUAUUGCGCAAUGGGCGAAAGCCUGACGCAGCGACGCCGCGUGGGGGAUGAAGGUCUUCGGAUUGUAAACCCCUUUCGGGAGGGAAGAUGGACGAGCAUCGUUCGGACGGUACCUCCAGAAGCAGCCACGGCUAACUUCGUGCCAGCCGCCGCCGUAA
rnacentral:rRNA from 1 species